GUGUCACUAUGGAGGAGGGCUUUGAGGUCUCAUAGGCUCAACCUAGGCCGAGUGGGCAGUCGCUUCCUGUUGGCGGAGGAUCAAGAUGUAGAACCCUCAGCUCCUUCUCCAGUACCAUGUCUUCCUGCAAUGCCCCUGCCACGGCGAUAAUGGGCUAAGCCUCUGAACUUCCCAAAGCCCUCCUUGAGCAGGAACAGAUGGCGUGCCGGAGAAAUGUCAGCCGCUCACAGCAGAGUCAGCAGCCUGCAUCGAGUUCCUUGCUGAGGACAGGGAGAUGUAAAGAGGGGACAAAAGGGGCCAAUGCUACCCUUUCACACAGCCAUCUUCCCCGUCACAGGCAAAGCCCGCACAGCUGUGUCCAUGACAGUCUGCAGGCAGGAGACACCACGUGGCCCCAGAGACAUGCAGGCUGCUGGGAAUGGGAUUAUUAGAAGAGAUGUUGGAAAGUUCCCCAAGAAGAGACAGCCAAGCCCGGGAAGAUAAAUGCACACUAAUCACCCUGCCAAAUGUCUGUGGCCCCAGAGCCUUCAGAUCAAUGUUCAGUCUGCAGACGUGAGAUGGGGUGUGAGGAGAUGGAGUUGACUGCUGUCAAUGAUCCCAACUUGAGCCAGUGAUGGGACGCCGCUCUCACAGUCCCUCUGUACCGUAAACCUCCACACAGCGUGUUUCCUGCAAAAUAGCUUCAUGGCUCUGUCCUCCAGAACCUUAACGAUGAAAUGAGCUCUCAGUUAAUGCUGUUAAAAUUCACCUUUCAAAAGUGUGUUAUAUGCACGUGUGAAAAAAUGUCACAGUAAAAAGCGUUACUUUGUACAAUUAAUAUGUACCGAAAAAAAGAAAUCUUAGUACAUUUGAAAACUUGCCACUCAGUUCUUGACUCAAAAUUCUGCUAACUUCAAUUUGUUUUCACCGUUGUGAGGUUCACCUCGGUUUCUAGUUGAUUUUCUGAACCUUGGUGAUGUCAUCACGGUCACUCGAGGAGAAGGCCUUAGGGUGAGGGCUGUGUUUUGGUGUUCUUUCCAGCUGUUUUCGCCUGAGAGCCACCAAGACAACAGGUUUCCAGCGGGAA